GAUGAAGAACGCAGCGAAAUGCGAUACGUAAUGUGAAUUGCAGAAUUCAGUGAAUCAUCGAAUCUUUGAACGCAUAUUGCGCUCUCUGGUAUUCCGGAGAGCAUGCUUGUUUGAGUAUCAGUAAACACCUCAACUCCCUUUUCUUUUUUGAAAUUGGAGCUGGACUUGAGUGAUCCCAACGCUUUCUUCCAAGAAAGUGGCGGGUUGCUUGAAAUGCAGGUACAGCUGAACUUUUCUCUGAGCUAUAAGCAUAUCUAUUUAGUCUGCCUAAAAAACAGAUUAUUACCUUUGCUGCAGCUAACAUAAAGGAGACUAGUUCUUGUGCUGACUGAUGCAGGAUUCACAGAGACAGCUUCGGCUGACUUUGUAAACUCGAUCUCAAAUCAAGUAAGACUACCCGCUGAACUUAAGCAUAUCAAUAAGCGGAGGA
rnacentral:misc_RNA from 1 species